AUAUCUCUCUGUACGGGAAGGAUGAGAAGCUUCGACCAAGGUUCGAUUCGAGCGCAGCGAGAAAGCGUUGCCGCAGGCAACGACCCGAAGGGCGAAGCGCGCAG
rnacentral:sRNA from 2 species